UCUGUUGAGCAGCAGAUUAGACAUAUUGCCCAGUCUGGUCAGUGUCCAUCCCAUUACCAACCAUAUGGAACUGCUAAGGACAUUUACGAGCAUGUUCAGUGGAACUCUUAUGAUGAGCUGGAAGUGCGUUCAUUCAAACUGAAGACAAGUUGGAAAUAGGUUCAGUGAAACUGAGGACAAGUUGGAAAUAGGUUCAGUGAAUCUGAGGACAAGUUGGAAGUGAAGCUGAGGUGUUGGCGGUGUGUUCUGCGGUAACUCUGAGGAUGAGUUGGAGGUUCUGUUACCCAGUUUUGAUUCACAGCGCUCUCCAGUCCAGCCCUCCUUACAGAAGCAGCUCCCAUCUCCCUCCAGCCCAUCCUCGCACUUUCCGUUCUUGGUACAGGUACAUUCUGCCAAAGACAAGAGUGGGAUAGCCAUUUCACAACCAAUUCAAACUGAGCAUCAGACUGGAUUACAAGUUGACUGUGGAAUCAACAUCAGAACAUCAGAUAUGAUUCCAGAGUCAGCUGCUGGACAGGUCACCAUGCAGUUUGUUUUAUCUAUUUUAAAUACAUUAUUUGAUACUAUUUAUUAAAAUAAAGAAGGGCCCUGAAAUAA